CAAGAGCAGCAGCAGCAGCGGCAACGGCAACGGCGGCGGCAGUUGCAGCCAACAACGUUUCGCAUGUGGCAAAAUGCUGGAGUUGCUGCUGCUGCUGCUGCCGA
rnacentral:miRNA from 1 species